rnacentral:rRNA from 1 species
AGUCUGGUGCCAGCAGCCGCGGUAAUUCCAGCUCCAAUAGUGUAUAUUAAAGUUGCUGCAGUUAAAAAGCUCGUAGUUGGAUUUCGGAUAAUAAAAAUUUAAUAUCCAUCCUUAAAAUGUGAUUUAAUUUUUAUUUCCUUCCUUUUGAAUACACUCCCUAAACUCUUUUAGGGAAUUAAGUGUUUCAAAUCGUUUACUGUGAAGAAAUUAGAGUGUUCAAAGCAGGCGUAACCUAGCCUUUGAAUAUAUUAGCAUGGGAUAAUGAAAUAGGACUUUAGUCCUACUUUCGUUGGUUUCUAGGGCUGAAGUAAUGAUUAAUAGGGAUAGUUGGGGUCACUAGUAUUUAAUUGUCAGAGGUGAAAUUCUAAGAUUUAUUAAAGACUAACUACUGCGAAAGCAUUUGACAAGGAUGUUUUCAUUAAUCAAGAACGAAAGUUGGGGGAUCGAAGAUGAUCAGAUACCGUCGUAGUCUCAACCACAAACUAUGCCGACCAAGGAUCCGGGGUUGUUAAUAUGGAUGACUCUCCGGGCACUUAUAGAGAAAUCAUAAGUAUUUGGGCUCCGGGGGGAGUAUGGUCGCAAGGCUGAAACUUAAAGGAAUUGACGGAAGGGCACCACAAGGAGUGGAACCUGCGGUUUAAUUUGACCCAACGCGGGGAAACUUACCAGGUCCAGACACAGUGAGGAUUGACAGAUUGAGAGUUCUUUCUUGAUUCUGUGAGUGGUGGUGCAUGGCCGUUUCUAGUUGGUGGAGUGAUUUGUCUGGUUAAUUCCGUUAACGAACGAGACCUUAACCUAUUAAAUAGUUGUUUGAACUUGAUUUUUUAAAUCAAAUGUUCAUUUAACUUCUUAGAGGGACUCUUCACUGAGAGAGUGAAUGGAAGUUUGAGGCAAAAACAGGUCUGUGAUGCCCUUAGAUGUUCUGGGCCACACGCGCGUUACACUGACAUACUCAACGAGCAUUAUCCUUGCCCGUCGGGGUUGGGUAAUCUUUUAAAUGUAUGUCGUGCUGGGGAUAGAUCAUUGUAAUUAUUGGUCUUGAACGAGGAAUUCCUAGUAAGUGCGAGUCAUCAACUCGCGCUGAUUACGUCCCUGCCCUUUGUACACACCGCCCGUCGCUCCUACCGAUUGAAUGGUCCGGCGAGAACUCAGGAUGGAUAUGGAUUUUGGACCCGUUAGGUGUUCCAACCAUAUCCAGAAUUUGUUCAAACCUUACCA